rnacentral:tRNA from 1 species
GCGCAGGUGGCGGAGUGGACAAUCGCAGUGGACUGUAAAUCCACCGGCCGGAAGGCCUCCGAAGGUUCGAAUACUUCCCUGCGCA